rnacentral:misc_RNA from 1 species
GUGAAAUCUACCAGGCUAUGCAACCGGGGGUGUUACACUUAGUAUGAAUGAAAAACUUAUGAAGGCACUGUCACCAAUCACCUACAUAUGGCAGGCAUAAGGGCUGAGUUGAAAAGCCACCUUUAUGCAAUAAAUAAUUACCGGCCCAAGGGAAGAAUAAUUAAUUGUACCUCUCUUUGACUUAAGCAGUAAGAAGUUUCACAGACCAGGACCACUGAAGUAUGGCUCCUCCCUGAGCCAGAUCCUACUUUGAUAUUUAGCCUUGAAUCCUCUGGUCCUGACUACAUUUAUCUACUCUAGUAAGAUUUUCAAGAUCCUAUGUAUAUGAAACAAUAAGAAACUAUUCAAUGUGCUACCUCUUUGAAUUCU